rnacentral:rRNA from 1 species
GACGAACGCUGACGGCGUGCUUAACACAUGCAAGUCGAAGGUAGUGCGAACGGGUGAGUAACACGUGAGUAACCUGCCCUUUUCUUGGGGAUAAGCCUGGGAAACUGGGUCUAAUACUGGAUGGAGUGGGAUGGGCUCGCGGCUUAUCGGCUGGUUGGUGGGGUGAUGGCUUACCAAGGCUUUGACGGGUAGCCGGCCUGAGAGGGGGGUCGGUCACACUGGAACUGCGAUACGGCCCAGACUGCUACGGGGGGCAGCAGUGGGGGCUAUUGCAGAAUGGAUGAAACACUGAUGCAGCGACGUCGUGUGGGGGAUGAAGGCCUUCGGGUUGUAAACUCCUUUCGCCCGCGGAAUGGUAGUGGGUAAAGAAGCGCCGGCUAACUACGUGCCAGCAGCCGCGGUAAUAC